UACAGAGGUGGCAAGCGUUGUUCGGAAUUACUGGGCGUAAAGGGCGCGUAGGCGGCCGCCUAAGUCAGACGUGAAAUCCCUCGGCUCAACCGGGGAACUGCGUCUGAUACUGGGUGGCUUGAAGUCGGGAGAGGGAUGCGGAAUUCCAGGUGUAGCGGUGAAAUGCGUAGAUAUCUGGAGGAACACCGGUGGCGAAGGCGGCAUCCUGGACCGAGAUUGACGCUGAGGCGCGAAAGCCAGGGGAGCAAACGGG
rnacentral:rRNA from 1 species